rnacentral:rRNA from 1 species
UGGGGAAUAUUGCACAAUGGGCGAAAGCCUGAUGCAGCGACGCCGCGUGAGGGAUGACGGCCUUCGGGUUGUAAACCUCUUUCAGCAGGGACGAAGCGCAAGUGACGGUACCUGCAGAAGAAGCACCGACUAACUACGUGCCAGCAGCCGCGGUAAUACGUAGGGUGCAAGCGUUGUCCGGAAUUACUGGGCGUAAAGAGUUCGUAGGCGGUUUGUCGCGUCGUUUGUGAAAACCAGCAGCUCAACUGCUGGCUUGCAGGCGAUACGGGCAGACUUGAGUACUGCAGGGGAGACUGGAAUUCCUGGUGUAGCGGUGAAAUGCGCAGAUAUCAGGAGGAACACCGGUGGCGAAGGCGGGUCUCUGGGCAGUAACUGACGCUGAGGAACGAAAGCGUGGGUAGCGAACAGG